UUUAGAUGGAAGGUUGGUGAUGGGGGUAAGGAGAGAUUCUGGGAAGACACUUGGUUUGGUACAUCUCCCCUGGCAAUCCAAUUUUGGCCCCUGUACACUAUAUGUAAUCAGAUUUCGAAAAGUAUUAAAGAUAUAUGGGAUAAUGCCCAGAUUAAGCUUACUUUUAGAAGGAAUUUUUCGGAGAGCAUGAUGGAGGACUGGCUCCAACUAGUGGAAAUUGUCCGCAUUCUCGUGCUUUAUGAUGAGCCUGAUGCUUUAAUUUGGCAAUAUGAAAGUAAUGGGAAAUACUCCAGCAGCUCUCUCUACCAUUAA
rnacentral:rRNA from 1 species